rnacentral:lncRNA from 1 species
AUUUGAAAUUUCGAACUUAAACCAACAACAUCAAAGCCAGAUUUUAUAAAUUUAAUUUCUAUAUGGGGACUCGCUCUUGAAUUUCAGCAUUUUGUUUAUUUCUGGUUCCCUUCAUUAAACGGGGAAAGCUAUGCAGUUUCAGGUACGUAUUUAGGGUAAGUUAAGAGGCAUUGGCCCAGGGUGCCACAUUUCAACGAAGCAUCAUAAUCGUUUAACACAGUAAAAUAGCAGUUUUUUUAAAUAUCAACCAUUACCGAAAUUUACAUUAGCAAAAAACCUAAAAAGCCACUAACCUAAAAAAUGUAUUAUAAAGCCUAACGUGCGCAGCUCGAAAACAAAUGUGUUUUUAUAAAAAGACCCUAAAAUUAUAAAUAAGUCUCUGCGUAGUUUUCAGCUAACUUGAACAAUUAACCGAGUUCCACACAGAUUCGUUUUUUGAUUUAAUACCGCUUUCAUUGUGUUAUUUUAUAUUCUUUAUUCCAACUUCCUAUAUGCGAUAGUUUUUUUUUUCUUUUUCAUAACAAAACCGACGAAACCUAUGAUAAUUUUAACAUAAUAUUUAACCAAUUUACAUUUUUAGAAAUGUUAUUUGUUACCCAAUUAGAAACAAUGAAACGGAAGAUCAAUUGUAAUAUUGAACAAUAUGAUUUUAUUUUUAACCUCGUCGUUUCGCCUUCAAUAGGCUGAUUGGAAUAAAAUCCUUAUGAAAAUAAUAUGCAUUCCUAUUAGUCUUGAACACAAACCAAGAAUAAUUUUUUUCAAAGUUUAUGAUGGUUAUUCGACAAUAUUUGUAACGAUUUCUGCGAUUCCACGCAGAAAAUGAAUUUAUUUAUAGUACAUUAAUUAGGUACCACACGUCAAUAAUAUUAUUAUAAAUAUGAUUUAAUCGCAUUUAUAACCGACACAUAUUACAAUAUUAUAUUAUUAUAUAUGUGAAUAACAGUCCUCGUGCACGUCUUUUAUUCGUUCCGUUAUAAUUGAACCGCACUCCUCGGCGUCAUUGUUAAAAUGUCAAUUUAUUUUCAUCGCAGGUUACGUGACAAAUUUAAAGUGUGUUGUUUAGAUUUUUCGAUUACUGACGUCAUUUUGACGGUCACGUAAUAGUCAUUACACGAAUAAAAGACGUUGCAGCAAUUUAAUAGAAGCAUUCAAAAAUAUAACACGAGUAUACAGCUACAAUUAAAAAAUAUAUAGUAUAAAAAAAAUAACCGGAUCUACAACUAUAGAUUGAAUGUUGGGAUGUUAGGAAAGUAUAGGAUAUUAAAUGGAAAAUUUAGUUUACAUACAGAAAGCAACGACACAUCAUUUCAAACAAAAAAAAACUAUUCUGUACAGAGCUCGGUAAACUAAGAAAGUUAUAGUAUAUUGAUCGUGUUCAUUCUCCUUAUUGUAGCCAAGAUAACUCUAAAAUCAACAAAAGUAAAACUAAAAUAUCAUGUUUUGUUGUCAAUUUUUAAAGAAAACCGUUAGGAAUCUAGAAAAAUGUUUUAAAUAAAGUAACAACUGGCGAAAAAUUUACAUAUAUUUAUGGAUGUGUAUCAUUUAUUAGAAUCAUUUGAGUUUCAUUUGAUUUGGUAGCUGAACAAGAUAAAGCCGAAAUAUAUGCUCGGCACCUAAAAUGUGUUUUUCUAUCAAACUCCAUUGACACUGAGCUUGACAUUGCGUAAUGCCAAAAGCUUAAUGCAACACAAGAAAAAAUUAAACAUUUCACUCCAUUAGAAGUUGUCAAAGAAAUACGAGACAGAUAACAACUUAAACCCAAAAAUUCACACGGCUAUGAUGAGAAAAAUGCAAAAAUAUUUAAAAAGCUUCCAAAAAAGGUCAUCUUACGCACACAUGCUAUUUUACGUAUGGAAUACGUUCCAGAACAGUGGAAACGGACACAAGUGAUCGUGUUGCUCAGACCGGGAAAACCACCGGAAGAUUUCACAUCAUAUUUACCGAUAUCAUUGCUUACAAGUUUGUAUUGACUUUUAGAGAAACUUCUAUUUAAACGUCUAAAAUCAAUUAUAAAAAUAAAAAAUCUUAUACCGUAACAUCACUUUGGAUUCCGCAACAAACAUUCGGCAAUCGAUCAUGUUCAUCGCGUCACUAACGUGAUAAGUAAAGUUCUUGAAGAAAAGAAGUAUUACUGCGGAAUUUUCCUUGACGUAACUCAGGCUUUUAAUAAAAUCAAGCUAAACGGAUUUUUCAUAAAACUUGAAAAAGCUUGAACAACUGUCACAUACUUGGUGUGCACUUCCUGAAGCAUACUUGACUGACCGUCAUGAGAAAAAGCUCUAUUGGUUAGUCGGAACUCACUCCGAGUUAACUAUACAAAAUAAACGUCUACUCUAUGUAGCUAUUAUAAAACUGAUUCGGACCUAUAAAAUCCAACUGUGGGGUUGUGUCAACAAGUCUAACAGUAAUGUAACACAACGCUGUCAAAACAUCGCCCUUUGGACCAUCACUUCAGCAUACCGGUUUGAAAGAAAAGAACCAAUUUACAGCGAUAUGAUGGCGAUUCCUACAAUAGCCGGCGAAAUCAAUAAGUUUGCUGGCAAACACGAGCGCGGCCGGAUCAUAAUGUCAAUCCAAUGGCCAUCCGAUUAUUAGACAAUUUCAAGGACAUCGGGUGUCUUAAACGUCUGAAACCAUAUGACUUGGCUUAAGAAUUCAAUUUUUAGAGUAAGGGCAGGAGCUACAUCAUUGGAAGUGUGACUCUAUCAGUGUGCACGGUAUAAUAUAUUAAUAUCUAGUAUGCAAACGCAUACAUUAUUAGAUAUAUGUAUAAAGACCUUUGCAGGAGCCGUUUAAACGAUAAUGCUGUAUACUAAUUCUCAGUCAACUUUAGAAUUAAAAUUCCUUAUUGAUUUUGUACACACUCAUACCGCGUAUACGGUGUAGCUGUAGAAUUUAAUGCUUAUAUAUGACAACACGUUUAAUUGGGUGUGUUAACAUAACGAUAGCGUUUUUGUGACAUUUACAUAGGUACAUGUAUUUACGUAUAGGAAAAAACCUCGAGUAUGUAUUAUUAUAUUUUCAAAUUAUAAAUAUUUUAAAAUUCAUGACACGUGUGCGUAUCCUUGAAUAAUAAUAAUGUUUUACCUACACAUCUAUGUGUAUACCUAUGUGCUUAGUGCUUGACAAAUUCUAAAUGUAUGUAUGUGUGCGUAUAAUAUGUAGAGCACAUAUGGAUUGGAAUUCAAUCAAUAUUUUGUAAAACAACUGCUGCGGGGUUCCUGCAUAUUUCCUAUAUUAUAAAACAAAACGAACGUCAUGGUUGUGUUUGACGAAGGUGCGCAAAUAUUAUUUCGUUAUGCAUUAUUUAAAACAAUAUUUAGAUUGGUAGGUACCUAACCUACCUAUGUGCAGUAUUCGGAUCGCGCGCCGCGUAAAAAAUAACAGCUUACAGUUAAUACAAUUGCUGUUAGUCGUUAAAUUAUCACCUUUUAAUUUUUCAGAUUAAAAAUUGUAGUGUCCGAAAUGUCUGGUUUUGGGAGACUGCGAAAAAAAACAUUGUUUGAGAACGGUGC